AGAUCGGGUUUUCCCAGGGCAUGGAAAGGACAGGGCUCCCAGUGGAGAUAUCAUGUAGCUAUAGGGCCUAGAAGUAUUUUUUCAGUAGAUGAAAUUUAGAAAUAAUUUGAAUAUUUUAUGCUGGGGAGGUAGCUUGUGGAGUGAAAUGGUGGGGGAAAGGAAACACUGAGUUCAAGUGCUUCUAAAGGACACUUAACUGAUCUAAAUAUUUGUCAAGCUGAAUCGCUACAUCCACUCUCACCUGCCUGAAAUCAAUAUGCUCAAGUCAAACGCAUUUGCCUGCAUCUGAAUGUGGAGAAUGAACUUCUUAAAGCUGAACUGGCAGCUGGAAGUGGAGAGAGAAGAGCUGGACAGGGAGCCAGGACACCGGAGUUCUUUUCCACUGUGGUGGGAUCUGGAAGAAGCUGUUGAAUCUCUGUAGAGUUAUCUUUUAAAUGCUGUGAGUCUUUGGAAAGCUGUGUGAAUAACUGCUAAACACCCAGGACAGCUUAUGCAUUUUUUGAAAAAGACCCCAUGAUUACCCUGCAAACAAGCUCACACUAUUGGAUGACAGAGACAUACGGCCCAGUCAUCCUGUCACCAUCACUGUUUGUCAAACAGCUGCCUGACAUAUGAGUAAAGUCUUCCUAGACCAAGCAGCCCUCAGCCAUCCUGCCAGCUGACCACAGAUGCACGAGCAAGUCAAGCCAAAAUCACCCAACCUGGCACAAGUCAAUAGGCUGGCUCCUGGUGCUGGUUCCAGCAGAAUAGACACAGAGAUGCAUGGCCUAACUCCCACCCCCUCUUCAGGACUGAGCCAUGCAGCCCCCCAUCUACCAGAAGUGUUAGCUGUUGACGGCUCACAGCUGAGUCCCUCCCCAGGCAUUGCUGAAAAGGGCCACCUUGCUCUAGGAUGUGCCCCCACCCUGGGGGCAGCAUACAUUCCAAGUGAUUAGUCCAUAGUGUGGUACAAAGGUUGUACCCAUCUUGCCUGAAUUCAGGAUCUCUUGGAAAACCACCCCAGCUCUGCAGCUCCUGGUGGGGUGCUGAGGCCUCUGCUACAGCUGCAUUGCAGUUUACUUUCCCCUCUGCCUAGUCCUGCUGCCUUCACUCCCCAACAGGUAUUGUUCCCCAGAGAACUCCCUGCCCCCAGUCACCUGUAAGCAAAUCUCCACUGCAGUCUGUGGCCUGGGAAACCUGCUCUAGGAUCCCAAAGUGAACACAGCUUCCCAUUGAAAUGUGUCUUUGGGUGUUAAUCUGUCCUGCCAUCUUUACAUCUAAUCAAGAGGUAGAGCUUCCCCUGGUGUUUCUGCUGGGUACAUAAAGGAUCUUUUCCAUUGUC